rnacentral:lncRNA from 1 species
UUUUUUUUUUUUUUUUUUUUGGCAUGCUUCUUCCAAAUGGAUUAAAUUAGUUGCCCAUUAUUAGCUCUGCCAAGAUAGUGCAACUUUUCUCAAGUAUUCUACAUUAUAUUUUUUUUUAUUUCAAAAAAUAUAUUGUAAGUUCCAAAAAAAGAAAAGAAAAGAAAAUAAAAGAGACAAUAUAUACCUUCCGGCUUCCACAUAGGUUUGAAUUUGCAGAUAGAAUGAUGGGAUUGAGACGCUUUCGUUUUUGUCCUUCAAUAUCUUCGUGCAGCAUUAAAUAAAAUAUGUACGUAGUUGGUGUCACUUUUUUCACAGAAGUGGAAUUUCUAUUUGAAGAAAGUGUAUACAAUUUCUAAAAAUUUCAUAUAUAUAUAUAUAUAUAUAUAUAAAGAUCAAAGAGUUUCUUCCCUUCCCGGCUGGCCGGCUAUCAGCCAGAAAACACGCAAAUUGGAUUCGUAAAAGAAGAUGCAUGACCUUUGAGGGUUAGGCGGUGAGACGGAGGUUUUGAUUUUCUUUGUAUUGCUAUUUCUUUUCUUUUUUUUUUUUUUCUCUGGAAAGCCUCAUGGAUUCGGAUUAACAUUCUGAGGUGGCAUGAUUUCUGGGCAACUGAUCACCCUUUUUCCUGUCUUUAGCUACAAAAUGCACGUGGUGCGUAGCAGACAACGUUUCAUGUCGAAGCAACUAAAAAUGUUUGGUAACUAUAAAUAAAAAAAAAAAAAAAUUUUGUUUUUGGUUGGAUGAUUGGAAGGCAAGUAGCUAGCUAAUCUAAUUUGUUCACCAUUAUCAUUUCCCAACAAUUUAUUUUAUUGUCGAAUAGCUACUCAACUUUGUCAUUUGUCGGUGGAGCACGUCAUCCCACCUCUGACCUCACCGCGACCACCCCUUUUUAAUUUCUUUAUAGUAAAACCUCAGGGAGGGCUUUUCCAUAUUUUGAGACCAAAACUUUUGUUUGGCACUUGAGUUUUUUUGCUAAGUUUGUUUGUUACAAAUUUUUUAAAAACUUUAACUACAGUAAUCUCAAAAAAUUUAUCAAAGUUUUUAAAUUAUACACUUCAAAAUAUUCGAAAAAAAACACGCUUCAAAUUUUUUUUAAAAAACUUCUACAGUAAGUUACGGUAAAGUUUUAAACAAACACUCAAAAAACUCACUUGUCAAACGGGGCGUUGAAGUUCGCCGCGUAAUUUUGGAUUGUGAUUUUUUUGAUAGAAUGAAUUCAACACUUUUUUAAAAAAAAUUUAUUUCCAAACACUUAGAAAGCUUCACGAAAGAAAGUACAACUAGACAAAAAAAAAAAAAGAAGGUACAACAGCGACACUUGCAAAAAAAUAUUUGUAAUGAUUAAUGAACCUGAAUUUCAGGGCCCCUGCAGGAGUUAGUUGCAUGCUCAAAUCUCAUUUAUAUUUCUUUUUGGCAUGUCCGCCCACUCAUGGCCACGACCCUUUCCUGGGAUUUUUCACAGUAUCUUUUCCUAUGCCUUUUUAAUAUCUUAAUUAAUUAACUUGGCGAAGCAUUUUGUGUGGGUCAAAUAAAAUAAUUUAAAAAAAUAAUUUUUUUUUUUUUUAAUUGUGGGUGGGUCACUUGGUCCCGCCCAUGCCCUAUCGACAGUCACUGCAGAUAAGUGUGGGACAUCGAUGAUCUACCCACUUCAAUUAAUUUAACAAAUUGAAUUGAAUCCUUUCUUCUUCUUCUUCCUUUUUUUUUAAAAAAAAAAAAGAAAAAAAUUGGGAACAAGAAGACCAGUGAUCAAUUGGUUUCGGGAUUCCUAGGCGUUGUUCUUCUCUUCUUAAUUUCUGAGCUUCUCCAUAGAUAGUUGCAAUCAUAAAGAUACUAAUAAUUACGGGGAAUUUCGAACCCAGGGGCACAGGAUUUAGCAAAAUUAAGGGCUCGAGGGACGUCUAGAUUUUUUAAACCAGUAUCACUAAUCCAACUCAAAUACGACACGCAGAUUCUGUAGAGAACUAACUAUUCCCACUCUUUUUUUUUUUGGGUUUGGUUUUUCCUGGAAUGGUGGAAAGAAAUGUUUCUAUGUACCUAAAUUAAUGAGAUGUACUAAAUUUUAGUGGAACUCGGAAAGAAUAGUAUUGAUACUAAUAAUUACGCCGGGGACAACCUAAGAAAAGAACAAAAAGGAGAAAGGGAUCCAUAGUUGUGGAACAUAUACUACUUAUGUAAAUUUUUUUUUUCUUUUUGUCAAUCGUCACUCUUUAUCUAUAUUCCAUUGUAUCAUAAUCUAACUAAGGGGAGGUCUAACUAGACUUACAGGGGAUCGAUUGAGACAUAACCACCAUCGGAUCAGACGGGUGCACUACGCAUCCAUCUGAAUUUUUUUAAGAAUCACAUAAUGUGACAAUUGGUGGGAGGCAAAUUUUGACCCUUGUCGCUUGGUGGGGGCCAUCAGCCUAUAGUCUUCGUUAAUUAGUAAAUAUUCAUUAUUAUUCCUUUGAUCAUGUUUGCAUUGGCUAAGUUGGUCAAGGAAACGAGCGAAAAGGCGCAGCAGCAUGGGUCAACACAGGAAUCUCAACUUCUGACGGAAUUACCAUGCAAGAUGAAUCAAUCCUUUCUUUCUUCUUUUUUUUUUUUUUCAAAUAAUAGACGCAAAUCGCUAAUUAAGUUAACUGAACAUUUGCAUCAGAGGUAGCUUAUUUCAAUAACCCCACGGAUUUAAUGCACCAAAUUGCGAUGUUGUUGAUCCUAUGCAGGUACUUGGAUAAAAUGAUUCUUUUUUUUUUGUGGUAAUUUUUGGGUCCGGUGAAUUGGGCCAGUUUAAAAUCCAUCCUCUAGCUGGAGCUUUUGAUUUCUGGACCCUCUUGGAAUGGCGGUGGCGUAGGCUGAUGGAUUUUCGUAAGUUCAUGGAACAGGCUUUCCUGAAAGCCUGGGGAAAAAAGGUUCAAGUUGGUCCUUGUUCUAUGGUUCGAACAGAUCUGUUCAAGAGGACUCUGGCCCGGAGUGGCUGGGGAAUGCGGUUUGGAUAGAAGGACUUUAGGCUCACAGGCCCACUUCUUUUACAUAUAUCGCCCGUUAACAUUAUGGCAAUGUCAAAAAAUUUAUUAAAUUACGGCAAUGCGCAAAUGUCGAGUAAUUAUUCAACCAGAAAAAAAAAAGUCGAGUACUUAACUAAAUUAGUAAUCAUUGACAUUGUUGCCCAUACACCAUAAAAGGACCUCUACAUAUAUUUGUAGUGCACUUAGCGAUAUGGCAUCAAAUUUGUGACUGAAUUGGUUAGCACGAGUUAUUUUCUUAUAAAAGGUCGCGUGCUGUAAAGAAAUUUUUAUAAGCGAUCUAUGAUUUUGAAAACAUAUGCCCUGAUCCCAUUGUAGUUACUGAAGCCGAGAACUCACUUAUGCUUGAUAGUUACCCCAAAAAAAAAAUCAAAUUUGGACAACCUCAUUGUUCACAAAAAGGUACAAAUAUUUUUCUGGUGUCAAUUUUAUUUGAGAAGUCGGAUUUACAAAAAAAAAAAAAAAUCUCGUUUCUAUGCAUCAGCAACGCUCUAAUCAAAGAAGAAUGAAGAAGAUAGCAGAAAUAAGUGAUUCACAAAUAAAGAAGGAACAACAAACAAUACUGUAGAAUUGAUAAUUCUAGAGCCAAGUGCUUCUGCUUGGAACUUGUCGCAAAAAAUUAAAUUGCAAGUGUUAGUUAACCUCGUGCAUGUUUUUUGGGAACAUUACACAAUAGUCUAACUCUUGCCGUAAUUUGUGGAAAAUCUCGUAUCAAUAGUCUAAUUUACGGCAAGUGAAACAGCUCGAAUAUACUGUUGGGCAGAGGGGAAGCCAUAAUUGUAGAGGGAUUCUUUACAUUUGGACAUGCAUAUCAAUAGUCUAACUUGAGCUCUUUCCAUUCUUUUUCUUUUUUCUUGUGAAGGAUUAAAAUUAGAAAACAAAAAAUGCAAACUUCUCGCUGGUUCUUCCUGUCAAAGUUUCAAACGGAUGUUAUUUUGGGAAUGUAUUACAAGACCAUCCUAUUUUUCGCUACCCUUAAUUCCAUUACCGGUGGAGCAUUGCUAUAGUGCCUCCUCUGCUGGCAAAACGAUUCAUGACCCAAGAAUUGAACAGCCUGAUUCUAAAGACUGUCGAGUUUUAAUUGUUAGAUUAUUACUACUAGCUCAUAGGCGCUCGUUUCGAAAGAAUUCUUGCUGGCGGUGGCAAUGAGCCACACGAGGAGGAAUUCUUUCGUUUAAUAUUCUUUCAUUUGAUCUUCGCAACAAAUAUUCAAGUCAUGGCGGAAGAUCUCGAAAUGCAGGGUAGCGAUGCCGGCAACAACAAGGACUCUGAAGGGCCAAAUGAAACGAGUACCAAGGGAUCCUUCCAUGGGGACCUGAUUCUCGCAAAGAAAUAUCAGCCUUCGCUGCGUCGGCGAAAAGUAAUUAAUUUGUUUCAAUUGUUGAUCAUCAUAAAAUCUGUUGGACUAGUGACAAUCAUCUUGUAUUUUAUGAUCACAGAACGCAACGAUGGGAGAGUCCUUCUAAUUUCCAUCGAUCCCACAGUUGAAUUUAUGGUUACUAAUUCAGACAAAAUGCUGGUGUUUGACGUCUCAGGAAUACACGUUGGUGCAAACAUUGUUGUUAGCGUAUCAAUCUCUUGGAGUGGUCUACGGAGACAUUGGCACUUCACCUCUCUACGUGUUGUCAUCUGUUCGGCUCGACAAACCUACGGAAGAAGACAUGAUCGGAAUCCUCAGUCUCGUCUUUUGGACCUUGACCAUAAUCCCGUUGAUCAAAUACGUCUUCAUUGUCCUUCGGGCUGAUGAUCAUGGCGAAGGUGGAACUUUUGCUCUGUAUUCUUAUCUGUGCAGGCAUAUAAACUUCCGAAGCAAACUGACCAUCCAAAGCACAAGAUUACAAUCUGAUGCAAACAUGAGUUUUUACACCCAAGGGAGUGCAAUACAGUCUAAGACCAAACAAUUCAUUGAAAACAGUCGCGCAGCACAGAAUCUCCUCACGUUCGUUGUACUUUUGGGUACCUCGAUGGUGAUCGGUGAUGGCGCCUUGACACCGGCCACCAGUGGUAAGCAAUCGAUCAUAAACCCAACAUUCGUAGUAAUGAAUGAUAAUACUCCAAUCAUUAACGGUUGAAAUUCUCUUUCAUUAACGGUAUGUUUCUAUGGCACUUAAAACAUUCCUUCCACGAUUAAUAAUCUUUCCGUACAGUUCUUUCGGCUCUUGCGGGAAUUCAAACACUUUCCUCAAAGAUAACAACAGGUACAUUUUUGUUCAUCUGCAUAUCAUGGUAUUUGAUUAAUAAUGAAACUACCAAAAUUAUACAAAUGAGUGAUGUUUGGUCAGGGUAUGUUGUGUUCAUGGCGGUUGUGAUACUGUUGGCUCUAUUCCUUUUCCAGUCAUGUGGGACGAGCAAAGUCGGGUUCUCAUUCUCCCCGAUCAUGUUUUUGUGGUUUGCUGCGAAUGUUUUCAUUGGCAUUUACAAUAUUGUCGCCUAUAAUCCUGCUGUCCUCCGUGGUUUAUCACCUCACUACAUUUUCAAGUUCUUUGGAAAACAAGGCAAAUCUGGCUGGGAGGUUUUAGGCGCCGUUUUCUUGUGCACAACAGGAGGAGAAGCCAUGUUUGCUGAUUUGGGCCACUUUAAUAAGAGAGCCAUUCAGGUGUUUGCCAUUACAAAGUUUAAAUGCUCAUUACUCUGCAUCGAGCAGCCCAUAACAAAUGUUUGCAAGUUUAGUUAACCAAUCACAAUAAUGCUUUUGCAGCUGGCUUUCUCCUUCUUUGUCUAUCCAUCUCUGGUGCUGUGUUAUGCUGGUGAGGUAGCUUUCUUGUCUAAGCAUCCCGAUGCCUUGACCAACGCUUUCUACAGCUCCAUUCCUAAGACAGUUUACUGGCCGAUGUUCGUGUUAGCAACCUUGGCCGCAACAAUUGCCAGCCAAUCUAUGAUAUCGGCCUCAUUUUCUAUUGUUAAGCAAUCUUUGGCUUUAGGUUGCUUCCCCCGGGUUAACAUAAAGCAGACAUCCCCCAAACAUGCGGGGCAAAUUUACUCCCCAGAAAUCAACUACAUCCUGAUGAUCAUUUGUAUUGCUCUCGUCUUGAGAUUCAAACAAGGGGUUGAGAUAGGAAACGCAUAUGGUAAUUAAACCGCCUUUUUCAACUAUAUGAAGUUCGACUCGAGUGAAUAAUUGUAUAUAUGUUGGAUAUUAAUCAAUCUUGGCCUAAUCAACUGCAGGUGUGGCUGUCAUAUGGGUGAUGAUAAUAACUACAUGUUUGGUGACGCUGGUGAUGUUGGUCAUUUGGGAUACAAAGUUUCCUCUCAUCCUUGCAUUUUUCAUUCCAUUCAUAUUCAUCGAGGGCGCAUUCAUGACUUCCUUGCUCAACAAAAUCCCUCAAGGUGGAUGGGUGCCAUUUGCAAUCUCCGGUUUCUUCCUGGUGAUCAUGCUGUCGUGGACUAGCGGGAGGAGCAAAAAGACCUCAUUUGAUGCAGAAAGGAAGCUGAGCCUAACGGAAUUCACGAGCAUGCUGUCGAGUAAUGAUCUCUAUCGUCCCCCUGGUAUUUGUCUCUUCUGCACCGACCUUGUCAAUGGGAUUCCGCCCAUCGUUCGCCAUUAUAUUCAGAGCACAAACUCUCUUCGUGAAAUUACCGUGAUCAUCACAAUAAGGACCCUACCAAUCAAAACAGUCCUUGCAGAGGAGCGUCUUGACGUGGGAAGAUUGGGAAUAGAUGGGGUAUACAGGUGUUUGAUUCAGUUCGGUUACAAGGAUUUGCAGAGCUUGGAAGAAGAUGACAUUGUUGCUUCCAUUGUGGCAAAACUCCGCGACACUGCUGAAACGGAGGAAGAGGCAGAAAAGCUUGGAAAAGCUUUGAAGAAAGGCGUGGUGUUCGUGGCUGGUCGGACUAUUCUCAAAUCGAAGGAGAGCAAUGGAUGGCUUUCUCAUUUGGUGAUAGAUUACUUGUACAGAUUCCUGCAGAAGAACUGCAGAUCAGCACUCACUUCACUUAAAAUCCCUCCUGGAAAGUUUUUACAAGUUGGGAUGCACUAUGAAAUUUAAGGAAACCUGCGCCAUCCUUCAGCUUCACUCUACGAUUCUUUCUAAUUAAUCUUGUUCACUCAACGAUUCUAUCUAAUUAAUUUGAUGAUCGGCUUGGUUCGCUCUAUGAUUCUAUCCAAUUACUUUUGUUCGAUGUCCUUCACGGCAGCACUAAUAAUUUAAGUUGCCAACUUUGUCUUCUGCAAAAUUAAGCACAAUCCUACGGUUCCAAGUCAUUGAACUAGGGGUGGGCAAAAUUACCUGCUAACCCGAAAAUCUGUCAUUUCCGAUCCGAUUCGAUCCGAAAAUUAGGAUAUUCGAUUUUUAUUAUUUGAUCGGGUCAAAAGAGGGUCGGGUACCCACUAAGAUGCGGGACGGAUUAGGGUCACAUAAUUAAAAACCCGUGAGUACUCGAUCCGCCCCGCAUAUAUAUAUUUUUUAUUUUUAUACACACACUAUAAAAUGAUAAGUUAGAACUAAAUAAGUAAUUUUAUUGAACAAAUUGCAUUACAAAUAUGAGAGACUAUAGUUUAUUUACAAGAUUCAUUUGUAGAGGCCAUGAUCGUAUAUUUUAUAGAAAAAAGUUUAAUUAAUGUGGAACAUAUAUAUUAAUAAUUGUGCUACUUAUUUCAAACUUUUAUUGAUUUUGAAUUCUUUUAAUUUUUUUCCUUUAUCUUAUAUUCUCUUCACAUGCUUGUUUCUUGGUGGAAACUUUUGUUUAGAAAAAAAAAUUAUUAAAUCUUAGAUGAAUGUGUAAAAUAUAAAAUUAAAUUGGUAUAAAUCAUUUUUUAAAAAAAAAAAUUAAAUGAUAAAUGGGACGGGACGGGUACCCGCUGAUCCGACCCUAUCUUAACGAGUAUCCUAUAAUCGGAUACCCGCUGAUAUGCGGGGCGGGUAAGGGUCAGAAAAUAGCUGACUCGCAAGGUGCGGAUCGGAUCAGCCAAAUGAUGAAUGGGAGGGGUACCCGACCCGUGCCUACCCGUACUUUGAACAAUGAGUGAGAACGAGGAGAGAUGGUAAAGCGUAUUGAACGAGUAUUAGAUGGAUACUCUCCUCUCCUGGCCUUAUGUAUCCAUCACAAGCAUAGUGCUUUUUUCUUUUUAAAAAGAUUCAUAGAGUACAGUAAUGUAGGUUAGCGUAGCAAGUAGGACAGCAGGGUAGAUCACUCUUUUUAUGAUCUCCUUCCUAUUUCCAUGUUUUUUAACAUUUUGUAGCACCACAACUCCUGUGGACCGCCUCCUCACUUGGAGAAUUUAAUUAUUUUUCUUGUCUCAGUCCGUAGGUGGAACCAUGAAUCUUAGCGUUAAAAAUGACCCAAAUAAAUUAUCUUUUUAGCACAAAGUAGUACUUACCGACAAAAGAGCGAUUCUCAGCGGGCAUGGUGGAGCAUGCACUUCCAUCUGUAUCCGUCUAAACAUCGAUGCCCACCUCACUCACUUAAUUGGUUUUGGAUUACUAAAAAAAUUGAGAUGGACGUUAAUGGGCAUCCUCCAAGUAAAACCAAUUGGUUUGACGUUUUUAAAGUGGAUGAUGACCCGCAUAAUCUGUCUAAAUCCAUUUAAAAAAGUAAUAAGCAAACCCAGCACGUUUUGGUAGUACUGAUGUUUCUUAUAUGCUGUGCUGCUAUAUUCCCAGAGUCCAAGACGUCGUUCAGCUCUUUCCACUCACCCGGCCGAAGGUUUCUUCUCAAUCGGGCCGGGGUAUUCCAAUUGAGUCGUCAGAACUCAUCCUAGGAGUGUCAUUUUAAGCUGCCUGUUAGUUAAAGAAAUUAACUUUGUGUUAGUUAAAUAGAUUUUAAAUGAACAAUUGAGUAUACAUCAUUCAUUCAUUCAUUUGGAUCCAAUCCACAUAUAUAUAACCGCUUAUUAUAUGAAUUUAAACGGAUUGGAUUAUUUAAUCUACGAUCCAUUUAUAUGAAACCAAUAAUUAUUUUUUAAUGUGGGAUCUGUUGUGGAGGCAAUGCUAGCUUUUAAAUAGAUUCCCGCACAUCAUUCUGUAUUUUCAUUCACAAGGUACCAAAGCCAACUUCGAAGUUCGAUUGCAAAUUCCGAAGCACUCACUAUAUAUAGCCAAUUAAUUGUCAGGUUGGAGGCCGCUCUACAAAAUAAUACUACAAGCAUGGAAGGCAAAGUCGCUAACAGCUCCGUGCUAGAAGACGAUCUUGAAAAUGGUGGCAGGAGAGGACGCGGUCGGUUUUCGCCCACCUGGUGCUGGAAACAUUAUUGAACUAUCAUCUGCCGUGGACAGAACCCUGAGCUUUAGUCGAGUUUUCAAGUCUCCCCCGACGCCAAACGAGCCCAAGGUCUAUAUAUACCAUAUAUGCUUGGUCGAUUGCCAUUUCUCAUCUUAGGUUGUUCAGUCACAUGUAUAUGUUGCCUUUCUUCAGUCCAUAGAUUAAACACACGACCGGCAUGGCGGCAUGUACACUCAACUCUAAACUAAGUGUCAGGCUACGUACUUUUUAACAUCUAAACACAAUUUUUUUUAACUAUCAUAUGAUGUGAUCAGGAAUAUCCAGCGGUGCAGACAUUGUUGUUGGCUUACCAAUCACUUGGAGUUGUGUAUGGAGACCUUGCUACCUCUCCUGUCAACGUGUUUUCCGCUACAAACUUGACAAACGUUACUGCAGAAGAUCUACUGGGGACCUUCAGCCUUAUGUUUUGGAGUUUGACUAUCAUAGUUUGGAUCAAAUAUGUUUUCAUCGUCAUUCAUGCCGACGAUCAUGGUGAAGGUGGUACUUUCGCUUUAUAUUCCUAUCUCCGUCGACAUAUAAAUUUCCGGACCAAGCUUACAAUUCGAAAUACAAGGUGGAGCACUGAUGAAAGCAUGAGGUUUUCUAACCGCGCCAGUCCUCUACGUUCCAAGACCAAGGAAUUCAUAGAGAGAAGUAUCAGAGCUCAGAAUUUUAUUACUGUAAUUGUUUUGCUUGGAACUUGCAUGGUCAUUGGGGAUGGAGCACUGACUCCAGCUACUUGUGGUAAUUUCUGCCUCCGAACCAUUCGAAGGAACAAAUACAUAUCUUGGCAGUCAGCGUUUCAAAACAAUCUCUUGCAAAACAAAAUGUAUUGUUGCUCCGUAAGAAAUUCAUAGCAGUAUUUGAAAUGCUCCUCGUGCGACUUUUGAACUAACAAUAAACAGCAUCUUGGGUCCAAAAAAAUCAGGGUUUACAAUUUGUUCGGGGUCUUUGCUUUUUGUUUCUUCUUUUUUUUUCAAGCUCUUUUUUCCCCUUUUUAUGGGCAGUACUAUCAGCGGUUCAAGGUGUCCAAUCCCUCUCUCCAAAGAUUACCCAAGGUACGUACUUCUUGAUUGAAGUUUAUCUUCUUGAGAGUAAAGCAGUCCCAGGAUACUCAUAUUAACUGCAGAAUUUUCCCUUUUUUAACUGCCGCAGACCAUGUUGUGCUCACGUCCGUUGCUGUUUUGAUACCACUCUUCCUCUUCCAACGCUGCGGAACAAGCAAAGUCAGCUUCACCUUCUCUCCAAUCAUGCUACUCUGGCUGGCUACCAAUGCUUCCAUCGGAAUUUACAACAUUUUCAAAUAUUAUCCGUCCAUUCUCAAGGCUGUGUCCCCUCACUCAUGGUUCGAAGACUCGGCCGAGACCGAGACGACUCGGCCGAGUCGUCACCGUCUCGGCCUAGUCCGAGACGAGACCGCGACGAAUCGAGACCGAGAUACUCAUCUCGCCGAGAAAUCGGCCGAGACGUCACCGCGACGGAUUGACUCGGCCGAGUCACUCCGAGUUAUCCCGAGUCAAGACGAGAAAUCAGCCGAGUUACACCGCGACGGAUUGAUUCGGCCAUUUCUUUGGCUAUUUUUUUAUUAUUUUUGUUUAGCAUACUUUUUUUAUAUUAUUAACAAUUUUUAAAAUAUUAAAUUCUUUAAAAUUUGCGUCUCACCGAGACCGUGACCGAUAUGCCGAGACCGAUGUGGAACGUUCCAAGCCGCGACCGCGACCGCAACCGCGACUUUGAACCAUGCCCUCACUACAUAGUGCUGUUCAGUUCAAGAAAUGCCAAAACUUUAUGGAAUCUCCUUGGUGCUGUAUUCUUGGGCAUAACAGGUACUGUCCUAGAAUUUUCUGGAAAAGUUUUAAGGAUUUUCUACUUCCGAAUUUAAUGAAUUUGAAAGCAAAAAACUCUGAAAAGGAUCUGCCAGUAAAGCUUCACUUGAACUACAAAAGGUUCACUUGAAUUUCAUAUAUUGAUUGGGACAGGAGCCGAGGCCAUGUUUGCUGAUCUGGGUCACUUCAACAAGCAAGCAAUUCAGGUGAGGAAUCACAGAACCAUCCAUGAUUGCAUUUCCAUCGGAAGGAGAAAAUACAAAUAAGACGUGUUUACUCGUGAACCCAAAGAAUAUACAUAUGCAUAUUGCGUCACAGGCAUAUUUAGAGUUAAUAAAAAGUUAGAACGCUGUACAAAUUAAUGCAUGAUCAUACUAUUAUUUUUACUGUAUACUUUUGUGAUGAAUGAAUUUUUUGGUAAGUAUUUAUUCGUCUAAUUUCUGGCAAUCAUAGUUAUUUGGCUACUUGAUGGCAAGGCAACUUAGCUCAUUCGUUGUUUUGUGCAGUGGGCUUUCUCAUUCGUUGUUUAUCCAGCAUUAAUCAUCACCUACGCUGGUGAAACGGCUUACCUAAUCAAGUAUCCAGAGAAAAUCAAUAACGCCUACUACAGUUGCCUUCCGCGCCCAGUAUACUGGCCUAUGUUUGUUAUCUCCACACUAGCCGCCGUUGUUGCUAGCCAGUCCAUGAUAUCUGCAAGCUUUUCUAUCGUGAAGCAGUCACUGACCCUCGGCUGUUUUCCUCGAGUCAAAAUGGUUCACACUUCUUCCAAGCAUGAAGGGCAAGUUUACUCCCCAGAAGUUAACUACGCCCUAAUGAUUCUCUGUGUUGGUCUUGUCAUUGGAUUUAAAGGUGGCGUUGCACUAGCAAAUGCCUACGGUAAGCCAACCUUCCCUUCCCUCAAUUACUGUCGAUGAUGACCGUACUUACAUAUAUAUAUAUAUAUACACACACACAAAUUAACUAGGGUAAUUUAAAAAAAAAAAUGAAGUUCUGUUGGCUUCUAUCUAUACACAUUGCAGGUGUGGUUGUCAUCUGGGUCAUGCUCAUAACAACUCUUUUGACCUCGUUAGUUAUGCUCGUCAUCUGGAACUCCAAUAUACUUCUAGUCCUAGGUUUUCUCGUACCAUACGUAAUAAUUGAGGGCAUCUUCAUGACGUCCAUGCUUAACAAAAUUCCACAAGGAGGAUGGGUGCCAUUUGCUAUCUCAGCUAUCCUUGGGACUGUGAUGCUGUCUUGGACGUAUGGAAGGAGUAAGAAGAGCGUUUAUGAAGAAGAAGGAAAGAUGAGCAUUGGUGAGUUAAACCAGAAGCUAUCAAGCACUUGUAUCUUUAGAACGCCAGGAAUUUGCUUCUUUUUUACGGACCUUGUCGAUGGUAUUCCACCAAUUAUCCGGCAUUAUAUUCAGCACACUAAUUCAGUUCGUGAGAUAAUGGUGGUAGUUACCAUUAGAACUCUUCCCAUCAAAACUGUCCUACCAGAGGAACGUUUCGUUGUGGGAAAGUUGGGAGUUGAAGGAGUUUAUAGGUGUUUGGUUCAGCUAGGAUACAAGGACUCGCUAAAUAUGGAAGGUGGUGGUUGCACUCGAGAAAUUGUGGCUAAGCUACGAGGAAAUGAAGACACUACAGCCGAACAACGAAAACUUCAUUCUGCCUCAGAAAAUGAAACUGUUUUUGUCAUGGGCAGGACAAUUCUUGCUGCAAAUGAGAACGAUGGAUGGCUUGCCCGUUUCACCAUAGAGUAUUUGUACAGUUUUCUUCAAAAGAACUGCAGGUCAUCAGUUUCGGCACUUCAAGUGCCACCGGAAAAGACAAUGCAGGUUGGAAUGCUAUAUAGACUGUAAAGCAAAUCUAGGAAGUCGCCUAGUUUCUUAGUAUAUGCAUGCUAGUACAAAAUGAAGCCCUUCAAGCUAAUAUGUACAUGAGCAGAAGAAUCUAGCCUACUUUCAAGCAAAGGAAUCUAGCACACUUUUCUUGUAGCCCCUAAAUUGAAUAUCGAUUACACUUGCUAACUAGAGAUUCCCAACUUCUAUGUGACCAUCUACAAACUUUUGCCAUCGUCUAAUUUCAAGCUCGCACCCCCACUGAUUGAAGUAGAUUGUAACACAAAAUUUUCAUAAAUAUAAAUAAAAAAAAAAUUAAGUUGACAUACCAUGUAAAAAGAAGGGCGAUUGCUUGGUUACUUUCGCACAUCAAGUUACAAGCAUCUAUAAGUAUAUACAAAUGAGGUUACGAAAAAGAAGAUUAUAAGUGUGCUUGGAUAGUAAAUUAUUUGAGAUAAUUUUUUGAAAAAAUUAUUAUAGUACUUUUUGAUAUGAUAUAUAUAAGAUUAAAAGGUGAUUAAAAUGUGUUUAUAUUAUAUUUUACACGCUCCAUGAGGUGAUGAGCCAUCAAGUGAUAUAUACCAUUCUUGUUUUUAAAACCUUCUUGUGUUUCUUUUACAAUAAUCCGUCUCACCUCAUGCGACCUUUCAUGCAAGUGAUACCAUUCUCUAGGACAAAGUUAGAAAGAAAACAAAAUCUAUCCGAACAAAUACGAAUGGACAACUGGAAGAUGAAGCCGAGAAAAAUUUCUUGCCAAUGACAUCGUAAGAACAUUCUUGACUAAGAAACCCUUGAGCAACAUAGGAAGCAUAAACUACGAAAGUUUCGUGUGAUGUUUUCCUACUAAUCUGGAAUACAAGGUCUGAUUUCUUUCAAAUUACAAAUAAGCUCACACCCUAAACUCAAAGCACAAAACGCACUAAACAAUCACAUAUUAACACCAUCCGAGAUACUUGUAUCAGCAUUCACAAAUAUUACAUCCAUGUAAAAAAUUAACUUCACAAUGUCUCGUCUGGGAAUGAACUGCCAAGGUCAGCUCGGCAUGGUAAAAGAAUCAGUCACCUUUACACUGAACAAACUGGUAUAAUUGCAAAGCAGAUGCGCAGCAACCAAAUCAACUAAUUUGCACAUAUCUCGAUGGAAAACAAAAUUGCCAUUCAUUUCCUCCCAAUUCUUGUUUUAACACCACCUGAAAUUUGGAACCAAGUAAAAAAGGUUUUAGGAUCACAUCAAUCUUAUAAAAAAGAAACUACAGCUACAAACUACUGAAGUAACUCUGAAUAUUUAACCCACCUUCCACUUCUUCAAACUGAACUACCUUCACCAGGUCCGCAGCCGCAUUGUACUCAAACCUGCCAGAUCAAACUUCAGUUAUCCAAUGAUAUCAACAAAAAAGAGGCUUUUAUUAUGCUGUCAGUUAGCUCAAACAAAGUAAUGAUAAAUUAUAACCAAGAUAAAGAGAGGCUAAAUUAUUGUGCUAAUGAUUUAUAGUAUGUUAUGCACCAUGCUUAAACGUUAAAAGAAACACUUUUGACAGAAUAAAUCAAGAAUCCCAGCUUACAAAUAAAAAAUAUAAAAUUUAAGCAUAUGAGUUACCUAGAAUACCCAAAAGAAAAUACCAGAUCUUGUACCUCUUACUCGAAGCAGUAAUUUCGACCACAUAUAAAACAGAGUAUAUACCGUCUCAGCAGUUCAAAAACAUUACGAGGAGUUGUCAAAAGUGGAAGUUAUUUCUCUAAGAGACAAGAAGCAGGAUUGCAGCUUUACAGCAUAUGAAGAUAUGAAAGUUAGUAAGGAUGUAUAAUUGUUCGCUAAAGGAGCUGAGUAAACCAUUGCUGCAACCUUAAAUGAAUAGUAGUUGUGUGAUCAACAACCACAAAGCAGAAAGAACAUGAGAAACUGCGGCCAGAACAUAGGCUGUCCAUUACCUGUUAGAGUGAAGCACAUCCAGUUCAUAGUCAGAUGCACUUUUGGUAGCUUCUACCAGGGCAUUUACAAUCUCUGCCUUUCGAGUACUAGCCAUAAGUAUAUCAUACUCUGUUGGGAUAAUUAUAGCAAAAAAGUUAUCACCCAGUUCACUCAAACUCAGCUUCUCAACAGCUGCUAGUGCAAUCCGCCUUUUAAGUGCAUCACAGUCUGGGUCUACUACAUAUAUUGCAAAAUCAGUAAUCAAAAGUAUACGAUGCUUCAUCUUCCCUGAACCAGUAAAUUUCAAAACUUUAUCUGCAAAGAGAACUUUACUGUCACCUGUGACAUCAAAAGUCCGAGAAAACUUAGCGUUCUAGGAAGAACAUUUCAGCUAACUGGUUAACACAAAACUGAGUACAAAUAACCCCUGACGAGCAACAACAACUUUCAGCCUAACACACUACAAACCAGAGGUCCAAAGGAAACACUCAAAGAGCACAUCAAGCAGGACCAUCAUAUGUAGAGUACCAACAUGAAAAAAAAAGAUAGCUCAACACGGCUGUUAGAAAAACUCUAGAACACCAUUUUCGAAGUAGGUUUGUUAUAGUACUUGACAAUUGUAACACAAAUAUCAAAAGAAGAAAGGCAAACAGUCACCACAAUCAGAAAAUCAUACAAAAGACCACGAACAUCUUGAAUCAGAGCAACAAAAUAGAAUGGAUUAAAAAGAAAAAAAAAACGCACUUGCACACUUGAGCGCACGAAAAAAUAAAUGCGCAAAACUCAUGCGCCUGGUAAGAGUCACAAAAGGGAGUUCUCAAUUCCUCCUUUUCAAAAUUAUAUAUUUCGCUUAGAUCCAUCUUAAUAUUACACAAAUACACUCAACUAAAUGAUCAAUGAUGACAUGUUGAUAUUUGCUACUAAAAAGAAAAAAGAUAAGCAAAAAAACUGAGUACAUUCAAAAAAAAUCCAACUGAAUUUGAUUAGAGGGAGCAGAAGCAGUCCCUGGUUAAUUGAAGAACAAAUAGAUACACAAUAACACCAUGGUUAACUAAUGAUGAAUAACAUCAAGAUAUCCAAGGCUUCAAAUUUAAAGUUUUUUCGAUACAAUUUCCCUAAAGCACUAUAAAACGACAAUCGUCAAAUUAGAAUCGCGUCGAGAUUAAAAGACUGCAAAUUAUUACCUUGUUUGCUGAGAAUCUUCAUGAGAUAUGAUCGAGAACGCACGUUGACAUAAUCUUUACUGAAAAGGGUGUUAUUUUGGAUUCCUCCGUUUGAGUGGCCGUUGUCUCGGGUUUCAGGGGAUGCGGUGUCUUCGUUGUCGUCAUCGUAAAUUGGCUGGUCUUUUUCCAGCCGCCGAUUGGAUUGGAACCGUGACAUCCCGGGAAAGGUGGCAAGCCGGCGGCUUCGGACGGUGGGGGAUGCCUCGCCGGUGGUUGUGGCUGCUGGAUUUGUUUAGGCGUGGAAACGGGAGAGAUUAGACAUUUCGGAGCACGGGGCGGCCCCACUUCAGUUGGUGGGGUUCCAGCUGUUGUGAUUGGGAAAAUGUCUAAGUUUAAUUACAUAAUGACUCCUUGAAAUUUAAUGAUGAUACCUUUCGACCCCUGUUAUUUGGACAAGUUCACUUGGAGGAGUGUUUUUCUUAGAUUCAUUGAAAGUGCAUCCUUUGCAAAUGUUUCCCUCCAAACGUGAAGAAGGAAAAAAAAUAGAAAGGAAAAAAAUCCACAAUUCCCCGUGACGGUAUUUGACAAUGAAACUCCUAUUGGUAAGCAUAAUAGUGUAGUAUUUGUCUUAAGUUCAUCUUAGGCGUGGGGAGUAGACUUGGCAAUUAUGCCCAAAACCCAACAGUCCAUCCACUAAUUUGAGAGGUUGAGUUGGGUAAGUUAGGUAUUUGGUUAAUUUUGGGUUGGGUAAUAAAAACCCACAUAUAUUUUGGGUUGUUUUGAUAUUUGUGUUGGGCACUCAUUACCCAACUUAAGUUAAAAAAACAAAUAAACAAAUUACAAGAGAUGGGAUAUGGGAUACAGAAACAUUUCAUUGUUCAUGAAACAACAUGAGACAUGAACCAAAGCAGGGCCUCCAUGUAUGGAUACUUAACAAAAUUAUAUGAGCUACUUAGCUAUAAUACUUACUUGCAUGCGUCGACGUUUUAUUAUUUUCCUAUAUUCAGAGCAUUCCACUCCUUUUACUUCCAUAAUAUUUUUCGCCACUUCUUCUUUUGUCAUGCAAUCAAAUAUAAGCCCAUCUGGAUUGUUAUUUUUUGAAAAUUUUAUAAAAAAACAUACUGUAAUAAUUUAAUAUAUAUAUAAUAACAAAAUAAUUAAAAAAUGCAUUCAAUAAAACAUUAUAAAUUUUUUGGGAAAAAAUAACAAUCCGAGAAAGUUUGCAGAUACCAUAUCAUAUGUGUGCCUUUCCCACUUCUUGUUAUACUAGCACGCCAAUAUAUCCCACUUCUUAAGUGUGCAUUUGUAUUUGUGAGUGUUUUAGUGUGUGAAAAUAUGUCUAUUUAUGUAAAAAUGUGUUUAUGUGUGUGAAAAAGUUGUUUUUAUGUGAAAAUAUAUUUAAGAAAGUUUAUGUAUCAAAAUCUAUUAAUUAAUAUAUUUGUUCAUAUUUGAGUCAUGAGUUUGAGAUGACCCAAUAUAACCCAACCCAAAAUUAAUCCAAUCUAAAAUUAGACGAGUUGGGGGUAACCCAUUUAAAUAAAAAUCCAAUCUAACCCUCCCAAUUGCCAGGUACAGUCGGGAGCACAGAUAUGCCUUGACAUUUUGAAGGAGCAGUGAACCAUAGAUGUGGCUUGUGGCUGCUUAUAGAUGGUUGUAACUUGAUGUUCGAAAGUAACCAAGUAAUUGCCUUCUUUUUUACAUGGUAUCUCAACUUAUGAUCUUCCUUUUCAUAUUCUAUGUUUUGCUUGGGAGUGCUAGGAAAAAUUAACCUCAUUUGUACAAUAUUUGAGAGAGAGAGAGAGAGAGACGUGAUCCAGCAUCUUCAUGCAAAUAGCAGUCAAGAACAACGAAAUACUAAGUAGUUGUCCAACCUCAUUUUACAUGGCAGGCAUUCUUGGACGAGCAAAAGAAGAUACAAGGACGUACUACCAAACAAUGCGACUAAAACUCAAUAGUUGAGCAAUGGGAGAAAAAUUAAUUCCAGCAUAUUUACUCCUUUAAUUGAAGUAAGAAUGGUACACUAUUGUUGACCAGAAGUCGAAGCUAUAUCCGCAGCAAUCGGUGUGAGGGCGGCGGGAGUUGAUUCUUCCGUCCUCGUUUCAGUAGAUGGCGGAUUUCCUGUAUUGACUCUUCUCAUAUCCUCUACCAUCUUCAGUACAUCACUCAUUUUUGGUCUCUGCUCCGGCAUUCUUGCCACACAUGUCAUCCCUAUUCGUAACAUCUCCACCAUCUCCUCCUCUAUAUUAGGAAACCUCAAAAGCUCUACAUCAAAAACUUCAGCAGUCCACUCCUCGCGAACAACAGAAUUAACCCAUCUGACCAAGUGGAUAACUUCAUCGCCACCAGUAGCAUGUAUAGGGGAUUUUCCUGUGAGAAGUUCAAGCAGCAACACCCCAAAGCUGAAGACGUCGGAUGCUUGAGAGACUUUCCGGGAGUCUGUCACUUCCGGAGCACGGUACCCUGCAGUCCGCAUGACUGGUGGGGCUAUUGGAGUGAUUAGUGUUGCCAAGCCAAGAUCAGACACACAACCAUAUUGUUGGGAGUUGAGGAAAAUGUUCGAAGCUUUUAUGUUUCCGUGAACAAGUUUCCCACCGCAUUCCGAGUGUAUAUGAGUAAUACCUCUCGCUGCCCCAAUUGCAAUCCUAAUACGGGAUUCCCAAUCCAAAGGAAUCCGCUUCUCACCCAUUUUUGCUGAAAAAAUGCCAAAAACAACACAAAUGUUAUCAGACAAACAAGUAGUCUCCAGCAUACCAAUACGUCCUCCCAUUGUUUCUGCAGACAAACACAACUCCAGAAAAAAUAGAUCUCAACUUUUUAGCAUGAAUCAGCAAUAAUUUAUAUAUGAACCGGUGAGUAACUGAAAUAAAUCUAUUCAGUCCUGACGGCAAAAGCAAAUUUAUAUGAGAUCAUCAUAUACAGAAGCGUUCUUUACAUUCUUAAAAGAAAAAGUAGCAGUUACUUAUCUACUUCAUUUCUGACAGAACGUAACCAAUUUUCUAACCUUCAGUUAUAAUCGAAACUAGGUUACAUUUGGAUUCCUAAAUCUGUAGCACAUACAGGAGCAUAUUGACAUCAACUACUAUUAAUGUCUGUAAGAUAAACUCUUCAACUCUGGAACCGGUAAAGUAGUCAGCUCUAUUAUAUCAUACCCAAUUCCAAUACUCGUGAUUAAUUUCAAUAGGGCAUUCCUUUAAGAUCAACUCAAUGUUAAGGAAAAGCUGCUUAGAGUAAAAUGCCUGACAUGAAGUAAUGUAGAGACCAACACAAUUCGGUGGUGGAAGAAUGGGGACAAAAAAUGCUGAUAAAGGAAACUCGGGAAGGGAAGCAUCACUUGCACUAAUCAUCAUAGAAGAUCUUGGUACGACUAAGCCAUGGUUAAAACUUAAAAGUAGCUAACCUUAGCCUUGAUGGGGAAUAGUGUCUUUUUUGGCCACACUCCAUUAUAUGGACAAUGCCAAACUGUAAAGUUCGACUUGGGACUCAUUCUGCUGGCGUGGACAGUUUGACACUCACCGUCCGGCGUCCGGUGCAUUAAAUUAGAGCCUACCAAGGCGGAGCUGAUCGGUACCCGACAUAACGACCCUUUUCUCUCUCUCUCUCUCUCUCUAAAUUUAACACAAGGACAAUUAUUGCUAGUUGCUGCCUAAAGUUUUAACUUUUAACACGCUGAAUGAGAGUGCAUACUUCUUGUUCAGGUUUGCUUUGUUUAGUGUAUAAACUGGUUCAAAUGGGCCUGUUUGGAACCUGAGUUUUUUAGGAGUUUGUCUAAAAUUUUACUGUAGUAUACUGUAUAAGUUUUAAAAAAAUUUGUAUAGAAUUUUUUGUAAGAUGAAAAUUUUUUUUGUAAUAUGAAAAAUUUUGUAAAAGUUUUUAAGGAGAAAAACUUUUUUUUUUCUUUUUUUCUUUCUUUUUCUCUUUCUCUUUUCUUUUUUUUUUCUUUUUCUUUCUUUUCUUUUUCUUUUCUUUCCUUUCUUCUUCCUUCCCUCUCCCCCUUCCCCGUUACCAGCCCCCUCCCAGCAGCAACGCAACACCCCCUACCCCUCCCCCUCCCUCUACCGUCACCCUCCCUCUCCCCUUUCCCUUCCUUCCCCUGCCACUCCUCUUCACCCUCCCCCGCCACCCCCCUCUACCAGCCACCCCUUUUCCUCCCCUCUCCCCGCCACCCGCCACCCUUUUUCCUCUCCCGUCUCUUCUGCCCGUCACCCCUUCCCCUCCCCUCUCCCCCGCCGCCCCUCUUCUCCCUCUGCCCCGCCAACCCCCUCUGUCUGCCACCCCUUUUUCUCCUCCCCUCACCCAUCCCCGUCACCCUCAGCAGCCCCAUCGCCCUCCCUUAGCUGCGAUCUGGUCGCGCGACCAGAUCGCAGCCCCCCAUCCCCUCCACUUUUGCGAUCUGGUCACGGGACCAGAUCUGGUCGCGGAAAGGGAGGGUUGCGGGGGAGGAAAAAAAAAAAAGAGGAAGGCAAUCAAACUGGAUAAAGGGGGAGGAUGGCAGGGAGAGGGAGAAAGGCAACAAAAAAAGGAAAUGGCGCCGGAGGUGGUGGUGGUCGGCGAUGGAGGUGGUGGACGGGUUGGGAUAGUGGAGGAAGAAGAAAGCCAAAGGGAAGGGAAUUUUUUUUAUGUGUGUUCUGUGUAUUGGGUUGGGAUGGUGGAUGAAUUUGUGUGUGUUUUGUGUAUUUUGAAGUGUGUAGGUAAAAAACUUUGAGAAGUUUUUUGAGAUUCCUGUAGCAAAAGUUGUUAAAAAACUUGUAGGUAAAAAACUUGCCCAAAAAACUAGCUUCCAAACAGGCCCAAUGUUCGAAUUCAACUCAAUAAUUUAUAUGAAUAUUUGAGUUUAAAUUCGAGAUCGACUCGUUAAAAUAAAUUAGCCGAAUCCCAGUUCAAACUUUAGCUCGAACCUGAGUUUGAAAAUGAUUUAAUAAUAUCUUUAAAAAAUACAUGAUCUAGAAUAAGUUUAUUGUAUUUUUUGCUUUAAAAAAUAAAUAAUAUUAUUUUUAUUUAUAAUUACUUUUUGAGAAAUUUACAAUAUAUGUUUAAUAAAAUUAAAUGCAUUUAUCUAUUCUUUAUAAUUAUAUAUGUGUCUAUGAACUAUUCAAAUAAUUCGGGAUCAAAUUCGUGUUCGGUUCGAUUAUUAAUCAAGUAUAAUAUUGGUAUUCGAGUUCGAUUCGUUCAUUAUUUGAUCAAGUUUUCUUCAAACUCGAACAACUUGGCACAAAUAUAUUUGCAAACAAUUCGAUUUACUAUUAAAAACUCUAAAUGCUGCCUGUAUAUCAUUCCCGGGAGAAGUUCGAAUCCUCCCAUUAUUAUGUAACUUGUACUGCACCAAAGUCCAGUCGCCGUUUUAAGUUUUCCUUGUUCUCCAACUUCCUCUUGUUAACUCAAUUGUAUUGUACCAUGAAACUUACAACUUUAGUGUUGUACCAUGAAACUUAUAUGACGUGUGGAAAUCAAAAUAUUUUCGAACAAUAAUUAUAGAGUAAAUCAUACGUGUACUGACAGUGUAUAUGCUAUUACGGUUAGAUACACGACAUAUGUAUAAAAUUUUACAUUAUGUGUCAUCCAUCCAAUAGUAAAAGUGUAUACACUGUUAGUGUAUAGAAGAUUAAUUCAUAAUUAUAAAUUGGGUGGCAUUGGUUCUUGUUUGCUUGAAGCGGGUUAGAAGUGGAGAUUUGGGGGGAAAAUAUCUGUCUUUAAUUUAUUGACAAGCAAAAGCAAAGCUGCUUUAAAAUCAAGCUUAACUUUAAAAUUAACACAUUUUAAAUCAAAAUAAACUAAAUGCUACGGCUGUCAAAUUUCAUAACAGUCAAGAUACAAAUUAAAUAAUAAGCAGACCUGAAAUCUAUUUAAUCUAUUGCAAGAUCCACAGCCAUUUGGGCGGCUACUCCUAAAGUCUUGGUCCUUGGCUUAGCUUUGACUUUAUGAGCGGCCAAAAUUAGUUUGUAUAUUAUCAAUUCUUUGGAUCAUUACAAUAGCAGUUUCCUUGGAUUUUCUUUUGUUCCAAAUUUUACAACUGGAGAUUAAGAACAUUGUCAAUCACAAAAAUUAUACCAUCGAAAGAAAAUGCUUUUCACAGAAAAGGUAGCAGGUAGCAACGUACAAGUAACUGGUUUAAUUCUCGUUUUGUUUUUCGAACGUCUCAAUCACCGACAAAUAGAUAAUUAAUUUGUUAAUAUGAUUCAGAAGUCAGAUUGCACUGCUCAAAACAGCCGGAGGCUCGCUACCUCCCUUUUCCAGGUCUUCUAUUAUUAAAAAUCAGGAUAACUCGAUUAAUAAUCAGAGUGGCGCAGCGGAAGCGUGGUGGGCCCAUAACCCACAGGUCCCAGGAUCGAAACCUGGCUCUGAUAUUAGAAGAGACAAGCUUCCCCUACCACCUUUUUUUAUUCCAUUCCGUAUUACUGCGCCUUUUUCCCCAUACUUUAUUACUGCGUCUGGGCGAAUAAAAUAAGACCACCGCGAGAUAUCGUCUGCUAUUUAAACCCAUUCAUAAAAAGAGAAGUUAAAAUACCCAAAAUACAAGAAGAAAAGCCCUAGUUACAGAUUUCAAAAUAUCGCGAUAUACCAAAAAAGAUCUCUAAACUCUGCAAAAUCCGCUUUUCUCUCCACCGAUAAGAGAUUAGGACUCGAUGAAAUCUUCUCUCUCCACGUAAGUUCCAUUCCCAUAUCUGCGUCUAUCUCGCUAUUUUCUCUUUCUUUAUGUUUUCUUUUUCUUCUGGAUCUUUAUCUGAAUAAAGCUCUACCUGGUUUAGAGAGAAAACGCAGAAAGCUUCCCAUUUUGCAGAGAAAUCUCGUGCUUUUAUUAUUCGAAGCUAAAAAGCGAACAUGAGAUGAGCAUAUUACUGGAAAUUUUUGGCUUUUUUACGUUCUGUUAAUGCGGAGGAGAAAGAUGUGAAAUAGAAAGCUGCUGUUUUUUGCGUUGCAUCUUGAUUGAUAAGGAAUCUUAAUAUGUAACAAAAUAACUUGUUAGCUGAAAUAUUAUGUGCUCAAUUUGAUUGGACGAAAUUGCCGCAGAUGAACAAGACGAAUAUCACUGUUCUAAUUCGAUACAUUUUGUUGUCUUAAAAUACUAAUGAUGUCUGUUCAUGGACCAAAGCUGAGACUGCUGAUGAAAAGUAAAAUUCGUGGUACAACUGAAAUUCGUAAUACUAUAUGAUGACGUGUGCAAAAUCUAGCUCGAUGUUGAUAACCAUGACACUUUUUUGUAAAAUGCAAUGCGUCCGUGAAUUUUUUUCCUUGUGUAAAAUGUAGUCUGUCAAAGUAGUAGGUGAUGAUCCAUGACAGGCGUCUCUUGGCAUUAGCUUAUCCAUGUCCAAUGAGCUUCUCUACAAAGUUGAACUCAUCUAAUUUUUUUGAUGAUAACUUAUGAUUUGUGUCAAUGUGACUUCGUAUGUACACGCUACUCUGCUUUGCUUCAGUUAAUACUGCAUUUCUGUGCUGUUUGUGGCAAUAUUUUUGUCUCAUGGUCGGAGAUGCUUUGAAUGCAUUGUUGUCUCUCAUAAUACCUUCUUCAGCUGGAUAUGGUGGUUGUUAUAUGAAUUUGUUUACCAACUUUGUCUGUAUUUGUUUUUCCCGCUUGUCAUAUAUCAUUCAAUUCAUUGUUGCUUCUUUAGGUAAGGAGAGGUCAGAGCAAAGCAUCUUCUGUAUCAGUAAGCUGUCUCUUUUCCUAAUUUAAAAUUCUAUCACAUUUUUCAUGAAUAUGAUCUUCAAAGUUCAUGCCUGCGUGUUAAGCAUUUGAUUGCCGAAUCUUGAUGGUGUCAGAAUUUUUUUUUUCUUUUUGCACGAAUAGGGGAUUGAAGAUUGCUGCUUUACUUGCUAAUUUUGUUGCCUGUCCACUCUGUAAGCUUUAAUGGAGUUGUCACUCCAUAAUGGCCUAAUAUCUAAAAUUCCUGAUGAUUUGUGUGUAGUACCGUGAUUAAUGCAUGUGUGCACCUGCUUAGUAACAUACAUGGACCAAAUUGUCAAAUUUUCUUCUGUGGCAGUGGUUCGAGAAAAAGAUGUUUGCUGGGAGUAUGCCGAAAAGUUAGACGGAAACAAAGUGAGAUGCAAGUUCUGCCUUAGAGUACUGAAUGGUGGCAUUAGUAGAUUAAAGCAUCAUCUGUCUAGACUUCCCAGUAAAGGUGUAAAUCCAUGCGGCAAAGUGAGGGAUGAUGUUACUGACAGGGUCAGAGCUAUUAUAGCGGUAAAGGAAGAGGGAAAGGAAAUUCCCCUUCCCAAGAAACAGAAGCUAGCAGAAGCGAAACCUCCUAUCAGCACUUCCAUGGGUAAAGGUUCAAUCACUUUGGAAGCACCUCCUCCAGUGGUGAAAGUUUUUCCAUCUGUGAUGCCCAUAGGUUCCUCCCCAGCUAGUGACGAAGAGAAUGCAGAGAGAAGUAUCGCCUUAUUCUUUUUUGAAAAUAAACUGGAUUUUGGCGUGGCUCGUUCUUCAUCUUAUCAACAAAUGAUUGAUGCAAUAGGAAAGUGUGGCAGUGGGUUCAUAGGGCCAUCCUCUGAUUCUCUUAAGACUAUCUGGUUAGAUGGGAUCAAGUCUGAAUUAAGCUUAGAAUCUAAAGAUAUUGAGAAAGAAUGGGCCAUGACAGGUUGUACAGUAAUCGCUGAAACAUGGACAGAUAACAAAUCUAGAGCUUUGAUUAAUUUUUUAGUCUCUUCACCUUCUAAAACUUUUUUCCACAAAUCAGUAGAUGCAUCGUCAUAUUACAAGAAUAUCAAGUGCCUUUCCGAUUUAUUUGACUCUGUAAUUCAAGAUUUUGGCCAAGACAAUGUUGUGCAGAUUAUUGUGGAUGAUACUCUUAAUUGCACUGGUUUGGUAAACCAUAUUCUUCAGAACUAUGGGAGUAUAUUUGUUUCCCCUUGUGCUUGGCAAUGUCUAAAUUCAAUCCUGGAGGAGUUCUCCAAAGUAGAUUGGGUUAACAGAUGUAUCUUGCAGGCACAGGCUAUCUCAAAGUUUAUAUAUAACGCUUCGUCUGUUCUGGAUCUUAUGAAAAAGUACACCGGAGGACAGGGGAUCAUUAAGUCUGGCAUCACAAAGCCUGUUUCUGACUUUCUCUCCUUGCAAUCUAUCCUGAAACAGAGGUCAAAACUGAAACAUAUGUUCAAUAGCCCUGAAUUUUCUGCAAAUUCAGCUUUUGCAAAUAAGUCUCAAAGCAUAACCUGUGUUGGCAUUCUUGAUGAUAAUGAUUUCUGGAGGGCAGUUGAGGAAUGUGUUGCUGUUUCUGAACCCUUCUUGAAAGUCAUGAGGGAAGUUUUUGGAGGGAAGCCUGCAGUGGGGUACAUUUACGAAUUGAUGACUAAAGCAAAAGAGUCAAUCAGAACUUACUACAUUAUGGAUGAGAUUAAAUGCAGUACUUUUCUAGAUAUAGUUGACAAGAAGUGGCAGAACAACCUCCAUUCACCUUUACAUUCUGCUGCUGCUUUUUUGAAUCCUAGCAUCCAGUAUAAUCCAGAGGUCAAGUUUCUUGGCUCUAUAAAAGAAGAUUUUUUCAGAGUCUUGGAGAAAUUACUCCCCACGCCAGAAUUAAGACGAGAUAUUACCAAUCAAAUUCUUUUAUUUACCAGGGCAUCUGGGAUGUUUGGUUGUAAUCUCGCAAGGGAAGCAAUUGAUACUGUUACACCAGGUAUCGUUGCUUUUAUUUUCUUUGCAAUUUUUUUCUCUUGCUUUUUUGGUACACUCGUAUAUCACAGCAGUUGAGUGGUUGUUUAUCUCCCAGGGCAUUCCAUUGUUUUUAUUGACAAAAACGUCUCAGCAGUGAAGCAAAUGAAUCUUUAUUUAUUAACAUCCAUAACAUUGCAGAUAAUACAAAGUUAGAGAUCUAAUCUUUGAGUUCAACAGGGUAGAUCAUAUCAGACAUUUGAGAUUCCCAAAACUACUUUGUGAAGAACUUAUCUUGUUGGCAUGUAGUACAAGUAUAGGGUUUUAUACUUGCAAUCUCUAUCAAAAUAGGAGCAACUUGUGCUUAGGAAUUUGGAGAGAGAGUUUCUAAGACUGGCCAAAGAAAAAAGUUGAAAAAAUUAGAAAAUAGUUGGCUUCUUACGGAAUGAUUUUACUGGUCAGGAGAAGUUCAUAAACAUGUGCUAAUUUCAUAGGGCCGUUUGCAUCCCAAGCAUGUUGGUCACUUCAAUUGAUCAUGAGAGCUCUUCAGGAGCUACUGAAAGCUCCUGUCUUGCUCAAAAGUAAUGAUGCGAAAAACACCAUUUUUUCUUGAAUGUUUUCACUUUACUGGCCAAAUAGAUACUUCUUGUACAUUCCUGAACUGAUAUUUGUUGUUUUUAUACUGACUUUGCCAAAUAAUAGAACUGUCUUGCAGGAUGGAAUAUCUUUGCUCUUAAGGAUCUCUUCCCCAAAAACUUUUUUCACUACACCCCUUAACUAUUGAACUACUUGAACAAGGCAGGCAGAGGAGUGGGGGGGGGGUGUUGUUGUUGGAGCCCAUUUUGUAGGAGCCUUCAUCAUAUCUUUCUCCUCUUAAAUGAUUAGUUCCAGCAUUUACAUAUAUUCAAAUUGAGCUUCGGUUAUAUGAUGUAGAACCUGUCUUAUCUUGAAUCAAUUAUAAAACCAAAGUGGUAGCCCUGAAGCCAAAUUUGAAACACAGAAGGCAUUAUACUAGUUCCAAUUUCUGUUUCUAUGCCACUUGUCAGUGCACUUCCAAUUGGUGUAUACUAAACUCAUCUUUUCCCUUUCAGCAAAUUACUGCACCUUUGUUUUUUUAACUGAAAGGUAUUUUCAAACUUUAGACCUCUUCUGCAGACCAUAACUAUCUCUGAGUCUUAAAGAAACUGCAGGAAAAAGCUGAGGUCUAAAUACUGAACCUGGGGAAUAAUGACGUGUUUGUGUGUACCACCAUGUCACAAGUUUCUUCCAAUUCAGCCAUUGGAAGAAGCUUAGCUACUUUCCUCUUUUCACUUAAAAAGUGAUCGCCUUGAUAUAUAUCUGAUUAGAAAUGUAUGGCCAAUGCACUGCAGGGAUUUGGUGGGAACAGUAUGGUGAUGCUGCUCCCAUGUUGCAACGGGUUGCCAUACGAAUACUUAGCCAGGUCUGUAGCAUUUUUACUUUUGAGCGGAACUGGAGUACAUUCAAGCAACUUCAUUCGGAGAAGCGCAAUAAAAUUGAUAAGGAAACAUUGAAUGACCUUGUAUAUAUACAUUACAAUCUCAAGCUAUCUAGAUCUCUUGCAUCAAGGCCUUUGGAAGCAGAUCCCAUUCAACUUGAUGACAUAGAUAUGACUUCUGAGUGGGUGGAGGAGUCUGAGAACCCUAGCCCCACUCAGUGGCUGGAUAGGUUUGGUUCUGCAUUGGAUGGGAAUGACUUGAACACGAGACAGUUUAGUGCUGCUAUAUUUGGUGGUGACCACAUCUUUGGUUUGUGAUCCUGCUUCUCAGGUGACUCUUGGUUAACAAAAUCGUGUUGUUAAACCAGCAGUUGUUAUUGUAGACUGAUGUAGAUGAUCUAUGCAAUGUAGCUUCCCUAUGCGCCAUCUGGCGUCCUUGCAUAGUGCACCGUUUUAUUGGAUAUAUUCUUAAUUUUUAUUGUCUUUUCGUGUUUGUUAUGACUUAUGAUUCAAUAUUUGUACUAUUGGCUUAACAUAAAUCAAUUUAGUAAAUAUGCUAUCAAAAAAUAGAGAUACAUAAUGAAUAUACGAGAAUCUUCAGUAUUCCUCCCAUUUAGUUUCAUCUUUGCUCGUGCAAUGAAGCUAUCACACAUCUCGGAUAAUCAGAUGCAUACCAGCCUAUCCUACCCUGUUGGAGUAUGCAUUCAACGUUUUGUCCUUUAUUAGGUAACCAUCGUUUGUUCAAGGUACUCUCCCACUCUUAAGAGAGAACGUACCCUUCUGUAUUAAAUUAAGGAGUUUAAAACCUUUCCCUCUAAUCUUGAAUCUUUUCUGAUCAUUUUGUUCAAAAGAUUAUGAGAUAUCUUCUUACGUAUUUGACUUAUCCAACGGCUUUGGCCUCCUUUAGAUACUCUAAUUUGAGCAAGUUUCGUACUUAAGCUGGGGAGUUGCUGCUAAGAAUGCUGUGCUAUAUUUGUUCUUGAUGACAUGUGAUGGCAUGCAAUAUCCAAGCAACAUCUGGAUGGAGAACCUUUACACAUCCAGGGUCUGGAGAAUAGUGGAAUUUGGCAAUGAGGGGCCUAUUACAAAAUUUGUCUUCCGUGAGUGCAAUUCAGAAACUUAUAAAUUAUAAUGCGAAUUAUACAGAGGCAAGUAAUUCAUUUUUUUGUUACUUUACAGUGAAUUUUAUAGUAUAUUCCAAACAUCUCUCUUUUCACUUUCCUCAACAACCUAAAUGUUUGACAACCCAACAAAGUAUAGCACAACCACAACUAGGAUGAACUGUUAAGAAAGUGUGCCAAUGCCUUGUCUGUGUCAUUGUCAUACAUGAGCAGAGCUUCUGC